GUCUGGCCAGCUGUGCCGAAGGAGGCUGAGCUCCUUGGAGAAGCACCACACCGCGUGCUCUUACUGUACGACGGAGGCAGAGCCGCGCGACGAUGGCGAGAUACAUCCGAACGCCGGCGUGAAGAGUGAAACCGCGGUUAACAGGGAGGCAGGAGAACGCCCUCCCUCAACCCACCCCACCCCACCCCACCCCACCUCG
rnacentral:lncRNA from 1 species